CUCCCUCUCCUCGCCCGUGUUGUCUAGCCAAAAUUGUUUUUUUAGUGAGGUCAGGAUGAGCGGGAGGAGCGCGUUCGUCCCCCGCGCCGACGUCGGCGUCGAGGAAUAAGCAGGUGGAGGGCAUGGCGGAGCGCCGCCGCCGCAAGCACCUCAAUGACCUCCGCUCCGUCUUACUCCAAGAUCUAGAAGGUCACACAUUGCCGCCAAUGGAGCAGAGCAAAAGGAGGAGGGCGACACCCAGGGAGAGGGGUGGUAGGAACACGAGCGAGCGGCUGUUUUAGAUGAGGAGGAGCGGAGGCAGCGAUGACGUGGUGCAGGCGACCUUCCAUCUGUUGCUGACCAGUGGAGGAGGAGCAGGAGGACGUCGGCGCCGUCGGAAUGUGGAGAACAAUCAAUUUGCAGGAUCAAUCCCAGAGAAGAUGCUCAGCGUCCCAAAAUUAGUGCAGAAGACAGGACAACCACGUAACCAUUCAAUUUCUGCAUAAGAAAGGACAACCAUUUAACCAUUCUGAUCCACGGUUCCUCUCCGACGACAGUGGUGAGCAGUUCAGGUCUGGGAGCAUUUUGUGCUGCUGCUGCUAUGUUCCGGUACUGUUGAUGUGAUACUACUUCUCCUCUUGCUACUGAUCCUGUGCUGUUGCUCCACUUGCUACUGUUGUUGUGCUGGUGCUGCUCUUGCUGAUAAUGC